rnacentral:rRNA from 1 species
GAUGAACGCUAGCGACAGGUUUAAUACAUGCAAGUCGAGGGGCAGCACAGGUAGCAAUACUGGGUGGCGACCGGCAAACGGGUGCGGAACACGUACACAACUUACCUUAGAGUGGGGGAUAGCCCAGGGAAACUUGGAUUAAUACCCCAUAAAACAGGGGGCCCGCAUGGGCAUAUUGUUAAAGAUUUAUCGCUUUAAGAUGGGUGUGCGUAUGAUUAGGUAGUUGGUAGGGUAAAGGCCUACCAAGCCGACGAUCAUUAACUGGUGUGAGAGCACGACCAGUCACACGGGCACUGAGACACGGGCCCGACUCCUACGGGAGGCAGCAGUAAGGAAUAUUGGUCAAUGGACGGAAGUCUGAACCAGCCAUGCCGCGUGAAGGAUGAAGGUCCUCUGGAUUGUAAACUUCUUUUAUAGGGGGCGAAAAAGGGCCAUUCUUGGUCAACUGACGGUACCCUAUGAAUAAGCACCGGCUAACUCCGUGCCAGCAGCCGCGGUAACAC